CUACGUGCCAGCAGCCGCGGUAAUACGUAGGUGGCAAGCGUUGUCCGGAAUUAUUGGGCGUAAAGCGCGCGCAGGCGGAUUGGUCGGUCUGUCUUAAAAGUUCGGGGCUUAACCCCGUGAUGGGAUGGAAACUGCCAAUCUAGAGUAUCGGAGAGGAAAGUGGAAUUCCUAGUGUAGCGGUGAAAUGCGUAGAUAUUAGGAAGAACACCAGUGGCGAAGGCGACUUUCUGGACGAAAACUGACGCUGAGGCGCGAAAGCCAGGGGAGCGAACGGGAUUAGAUACCCCGGUAGUCCUGGCCGUAAACGAUGGGUACUAGGUGUAGGAGGUAUCGACCCCUUCUGUGCCGGAGUUAACGCAAUAAGUACCCCGCCUGGGGAGUACGACCGCAAGGUUGAAACUCAAAGGAAUUGACGGGGGCCCGCACAAGCGGUGGAGUAUGUGGUUUAAUUCGACGCAACGCGAAGAACCUUACCAGGUCUUGACAUUGAUGGACAGAACUAGAGAUAG
rnacentral:rRNA from 1 species